AUGGUGACCACUGCAAAGCUUCUGUCUACAGAUACCUAAGAGAUAAAAUUACCACCUCUAUGAAGAUUUGCCACAUUGCUUUUCUCAUCCACCUUAGAUUUUACCACUUCUAAUUAAACCUUGCUUCUAGUCGCCUCUUAUUUAUCAAGGACCCCUAAGCUUUCUUUUUUUGUUUUGGAAAAAGUCUAUUUUGGGAUAAAAUUUAUCUCUGCUCUCUUUCUUUAGCUUUUUCUCAUACCAUUCCUCACAUAAGGUAUUCCUCCUCCCCAUGCUUACCUCCAUUUAGCCUUGCUUAGCAAAUUAAAAGAAAAAAUUACAAGAAACAUUAAAGAGUGGCUUCUUUGACAUGCUUCUUUUCUUUGAGCCAUCUCAUCAGCAGCUCUUUCUAAUAUUCACUUAGUUGACUUUGAAAAAGUUCAACAUGUCUGUUGGCUAGAAAACAAAAUCUGAAGAUUUUUGUCUCUAUCAGGAACAAUGUGGACAGGAUUUGCCUCAAAAGACCGAGUAUUACACUUAUUCUUGACAACUGGUUCUCAAGAGUCUCCAAACUAAUGACUAAGGUUUCUCCAGAACCUACCAUCCUCAUAAGAGCCACAUUGGAUCCACUCAAUUCAGUAAUAAUACCCUCCUUAGUCUUCUAUAGACUGUUCAAAUUUAACUUUUGAAAUGGAGUGAAUCAGAUAUUACAGGCCAUUCAAAAUAGCCCAUAAUUCUUCUGGGCCUAUGUUCUCUCAUUUUUAGUACCAAUCAAAGAUCGGUACCCGUCAAAGAUUUUUAGCCUCUCCCUCAUCCCCCUACUUUGUACUAAAGUGUAUUAACACAGCUUAUAUCUUUAAAUAAUCCUUCUAUAGAUUUGUUUCUCAGGCUAAAAGAGACGCCAUGAAAGAGAACUUCUGGUGAAACUUCAAGGACUUAAUGAGACUUCAAGGACAUUGAUACAAGCUAUUUGUAACUCAGAAAUUCUACCUGGAUCCUAGGCCCUUGACAGUCCUUAGAGAAGAGUCGAUUGAAUAAGAAGAGAAGAAAUCCUUAUUUUUCAGCCCAAGACACUAAGCGGGAUUAAGCCUAUGUCAUUUGCUCUUCAAAGUCUGGGUUUUCUUUCAGAAACACACUGGACAUUAUAUGGGAAUAACACUUAGAGACUGGGCUGUGGAGAAGACCAAAGAGUCUGCUACAAUAUAUUAGCAAAUAAAUUCUCUUACUUCUAACAUA
rnacentral:lncRNA from 1 species